rnacentral:rRNA from 1 species
GCGCUGGCGGGGCGUGCCUUAACACAAUGCCAAGUCGAGGCGGGAAGGCUUCCUUCGGGGGUUACUCGAGCGGCGAACGGGUGAGUAACACGUGAGUAAUCUGCCCUUCACUCUGGAUAGCCACGGGAAACGGUGAUUAAUACCGGAUACGACACGCUCCUGCAUGGGAUGUGUGUGGAAACUUUUUGGGUGGGGGAUGUGCUCGCGGCCUAUCAGCUUGUUGGUGGGGUAAUGGCCUACCAAGGCUCCGACGGGUAGCCGGCCUGAGAGGGUGACCGGCCACACUGGGACUGAGACACGGCCCAGACUCCUACGGGAGGCAGCAGUGGGGAAUAUUGGACAAUGGGCGGAAGCNUGAUCCAGCAACGCCGCGUGAGGGAUGACGGCCUUCGGGUUGUAAACCUCUUUCAGCACCGACGAAGCGAGCCUUUGGGUGAGUGACGGUAGGUGUAGAAGAAGGACCGGCCAACUACGUGCCAGCAGCCGCGGUAAUACGUAGGGUCCGAGCGUUGUCCGGAAUUAUUGGGCGUAAAGGGCUCGUAGGCGGUUUGUCGCGUCGGGAGUGAAAACACCGGGCUUAACUCGGUGCUUGCUUUCGAUACGGGCAGACUGGAGGUAUGCAGGGGAGAACGGAAUUCCUGGUGUAGCGGUGAAAUGCGCAGAUAUCAGGAGGAACACCGGUGGCGAAGGCGGUUCUCUGGGCAUUACCUGACGCUGAGGAGCGAAAGUGUGGGGAGCGAACAGGAUUAGAUACCCUGGUAGUC